GGCUGCUCCCGGGACCACGAGUGCGUCCCCAGCGCCUGGCGGUGCGACGGAGAGGCGGACUGCAGGGAUGGCAGCGACGAGGCCAGCUGCCAGCCCGCUCCGUGUCCGAGCCACGAGUACCCCUGCGGGCUGGGGGUCUGCCUCAACGUCUCCCUGGUGUGCAGCGGGCAGCAGGACUGCGUGAACGGCUCAGACGAGGGGGGGAACUGCUCCCUGCCCUGCCAGCUACGCUGCUCACAACUCUGCCACCCUUCACCCCAGGGCCCCCGAUGCUACUGUGCCCCUGGCUAUCGGCUGGCCUGAGGACGGCCUGACCUGCGUGGACAUAGAUGAGUGCACGGAGUGGGGUGAGCGAGCCUGCAGCCAGACCUGCCUCAACGCCCCGGGGUCCUACAGCUGCAGUUGCCUCCCUGGCUACCUGCUGGAGC
rnacentral:lncRNA from 1 species